rnacentral:rRNA from 1 species
AUGGGGCGGCCGCCGGCUGCGUCGCGGCGUCUCGCGGCGGCGGUGGCGGUGGCGGUGGCGAUUUUGUUGCUGGUCAUCGCGUCGGCGGCGGAGGAGCGCGGGCAGAGGGGUGUGGCCGUGCGGCAGGGCGAGGGGCGAGGAAGCCACCACCGGCACGCGUACGCGGCGAUGAUGUACAUGGGGACGCCGCGGGACUACGAGUUCUACGUGGCGGUGCGCGUGAUGAUGCGCUCCCUCUCCAGGGUCGGCGCCGACGCCGACCGUGUCCUCAUCGCCUCCUCCGACGUGCCCCUCGACUGGGUCCGCGCAAUGAGGGAGGAGGAUGGCAUGAGGGUGGUGGUUGUCGAGAACCUGAAGAAUCCUUACGAGGGCAACCUUGGAGGAAUGAACAGGAGGUUUAAGCUGACACUGAACAAGCUCUACGCAUGGAGCUUGGUCGACUACGAGCGUGUCAUCAUGAUCGACUCCGACAACAUCUUCCUCCAGAACACCGAUGAGCUCUUCCAGUGCGGCCAGUUCUGUGCUGUUUUCAUCAAUCCAUGCUACUUCCACACUGGCCUUUUCGUGCUCCAGCCUUCUAUGGAUGUGUUUAAUGGCAUGCUUCAUGACCUGGAGAUUGGUCGUGACAACUCUGACGGUGCAGACCAAGGCUUCCUAGUCGGCUGCUUCCCAGACUUGUUGGACAAACCAUUGUUCCACCCUCCUGAAAAUGGCACCAAACUCAACGGAACAUAUCGCCUUCCUCUUGGCUAUCAGAUGGACGCAUCAUACUACUAUCUUAAACUCCAUUGGCAUGUUCCAUGCGGGCCUAACAGCGUGAUCACAUUCCCCAGUGCCCCUUGGUUUAAACCCUGGUACUGGUGGUCCUGGCCAAUCUUGCCACUGGGCCUUUCCUGGCACAAGCAACGCUGGGAUGAUCUUGGUUAUGCUGCUGAAAUUCCUGUGGUCCUCAUGGAGCUGCUAAUGUACACAGCGAUCAUAGCCCUCACCAGAUUGGCAAGGCCACAGAUGACAAAACUGUGCUAUAAUCGGCGACCUGAGAAACAAGGUGUCCUGGUGCAGUGGCUAAUCAAGCUGGCCGGGAUUGUGGCCAUGGUGGCUGCAUAUACGAUCCCGUUCUUUGUAAUCCCAUGCACAGUUCAUCCAAUCAUGGGUUGGUCCAUGUACCUGUUUGGUGUCCUCGCCUUCUCAACGGCUGUGAUCAAUGCAUUCCUGCUCCCACCGCUUGCUGUGCUCACUGCAUGGCUUGGGAUUGUUGGAAUGCUAUUUGUCAUGGCAUUCCCAUGGUACCAUGACGGUAUCGCGAGGAUUCUGGUAGUCGUCGCCUAUGCAUUUUGCUCUGCACCAUUCCUGUGGGCAUCCAUCGUGAGGGUGAUGGACUCGUUGCAAACAAUGCUUGAGAGGGAUCUGCACUUCCCCCGGCUUGGUGAUCCAGCACCUGAGACUGAAUUUAGCAAACUGUACUGA